CCUUCUCAAAGAACAGGACAGAACAUUCCUUAGCCUCUCUAAGGAAGCCCUGAAAUGAUGUAUCAUCCUUUCCCAUGGGGAGGAUAUUAAAUACAAGUAGAGGGUUUCUGCUUCCAAAAAUGUGUUGAAGACUCCUUCCAAUAAAGCCUUGUGUUGGAAGUAGAGAUGCAGCACCAGAUCCCCUGUUGCAGGAGGAUUUGUGGCCUCACCUGCUGGAAGUGUGUAUGCAGACAGGAAGGCCACAUCCAGUGACUAAUCACAGCAGGGAUAUAAAAGCUGGGCCAGUUUGGACCAACAUGGGACAGACAACAUGGACCGUGUUAGUUCCAGAACUCCUUAUGGGUCAUCUGAGUUUGUCACUAACCCUACAUCAAUCUCAACUUCUCCCUCUGCCCAAUCCUGCUUCUGUUUCCUUCCUGACACAGCUGUUGACCCAAGGGCCCUCCAUAAUAAAUACUUAUCCUGCCUACUAUCCACCUCGCUGUCUGCUUACUGGAGAACGCAAUCUGCAAUGGUUGGUCCUGGAAGUGAUUUGAGAAAGAGAAGAUGACUCGGAGGAGGACAGAGAAAGCUCAGGACAAGGCACAGGACUUAAUCAUCAGCAUGGCUGGGACUCUAUUCCCUGGGGUGAUGGAAGACUGGCUCUUGAGCUGCAUCCUUGGUAGCUUUUCCUUCUUCAUCUCAUUGCCAGUGAGGACACUGAGGAGGAGAAGGAGGUGAGGAGGAGGAAAAAGAUGAGGAAAAGGAGAAAACCAACCACGAUCCACUGUCACCAAAUGAGCAUGCCAGGUUGCCAUGCUGCACAGCUCCAAGAAGCACCACUGUCCAUGUGGUCAACAUGGAUGGAUCCCUGAGGAGGUGUCCAGCAGCAGCCUGCAUGCCAUGCGUGGCUCUGAAGUCAAUAAUCCUGGAAAAAGGGUCAUUCCUUCCCAAUAAACGACAGUGGGCUAUCUCCCGCAGACACCCACGAAAUUUCCCUCCUUUUCCUUCCAUGGAGGACUGGUGAAAACGUCAUCAUGGACCUGACCUGCAUCUGGAGACCAUCCCUCAGAGGUGCUGCAGAGCUCCUUUCUGCCCAGGCAUUUACGGUGGGUGAGAACUUGGAGAGGCGAGCUCACGAGGGAGUUGGGGUUUUGACUUGGCCAUGACUACUCAGCUCAGGAUGAAAGCUGAUACUUUCUGAGUGCAUUCUUUGAUUAACCCUUCAAUCCUCACAAUCACCCCAUGUCACCAGGAGGAAACUGAGGCAAAGUCCACACAACUGGCAAAUCUGGUAUGACUCUCUUUCUGUCACAGCAGUUUGCUGGCAACAGACCUACAGCCAGAUGCUCAGGUGAGUUAGUUCCAGUGGCUGCUUUUUUGUGGCACCCAGACCUCCAUUCUCUCCCUUCAUCACUGACCUGUUGCUGGUGCCUUCUUGGGACUCUCCCAAGGCCUUGCUGCUUUUCUCUCCUCCUGGGCUUUGACCAAGGCUUACCCAUGUGGCCACACAGUUUCAGCAACUUGGGGGAAAAUGAUAGGAGGUUGAAUCCCUUUCCCUUAGGAAGGGACUGAGGCUUCUCAUGCUCCAUCUAGCAAUUGUGUCUUUCUCAAAAUGUACAACAUUAUGUUCCACGAGAGACUCAACACACAGGUGCACAGGUGACAUAUAGGUGGCUUUUUGCCUAUGGAGAAAGUGGAGCAUCGGAGGAGCCACAGAGAGGGAAGUGAGGGCUAGCAGGUGAGGGCGGUGUGAUGUUUCUUCUCCUCUCAGCCAAGCUCUGUCGCUCCUUGCUCCAAGGGACAGACUGUGCUCCUGUGGGAAGCCUCUGACCUCACUCCAGUGAGAACAGCAAAGUGAGUGGAGGUGACCCAGCCGCCCUUCUGCCCACCACAGCUGCUUAGCUGGAGGAUGAAAUACACUUAUUAGCCAAACCCAAUGACAGGCCUUCGUUUCUGCUUUUUAAUCCCUCAGUAGUUUAUAAAUGUUCCUUUCUCUUUUGCAGCUUUGAACUACACCCCUUUCUUUAAGGAAUGUCAAAUUAAACUUGAAUACAAAAGAAUAUUUCUCACCAUCAUACCAUAUAAGUUUUUAUGUGUAAUUUUAUGGCUACGCUUUCCGACUAGAUAUUAGUAUUAUAAUAUUCCAAAGCGAAAAGCAAAAAAGAGUUAUUGCCAUUGAGAUGUAAAUAUGAAUAAACACCGUUUUUAGAAUCCAGUGAUUUUUGUCAGGCUUUUGGGAGUGCUUGCUUGUCAUUUUAUAAUUGCAAUGAAACUGAAAAAUAGACCUGAAAUUAUAUAAAAAUACAUCAAGGAG
rnacentral:lncRNA from 1 species